rnacentral:rRNA from 1 species
UCUGGUUGAUCCUGCCAGUAGUCAUAUGCUUGUCUCAAAGAUUAAGCCAUGCAUGUCUAAGUAUAAAUAGUAUACAGUGAAACUGCGAAUGGCUCAUUAAAACAGUUAUAGUUUAUUUGAUAAUUGACAAUUACAUGGAUAACCGUGGUAAUUCUAGAGCUAAUACAUGCUUAAACGCCCGACUUUAUGGAAGGGUGGUAUUUAUUAGACUGAAGCCAAUAUUCCUUGUGUCUAUUGCGGUGAUUCAUAAUAACUGAUCGAAUCUCUUUUUGAGAUAAAUCAUUCAAGUUUCUGCCCUAUCAGCUUUCGAUGGUAGUGUAUUGGACUACCAUGGCAGUAACGGGUAACGAAGAAUUAGGGUUCGAUUUCGGAGAGGGAGCAUGAGAAACGGCUACCACAUCUAAGGAAGGCAGCAGGCGCGUAAAUUACCCAAUCCUGACUCAGGGAGGUAGUGACAAGAAAUAGCAAACCGGGAACCUCAUGGUUUCACGGUAUUGCAAUGAGAACAAUUUAAAACCCUUAGCGAGAAUCAAGUGGAGGACAAGUCUGGUGCCAGCACCCGCGGUAAUUCCAGCUCCACUAGCGUAUAUUAAAGUUGUUGCAGUUAAAAAGCUCGUAGUUGAACCUCUGUCUGGGGCUAGUUUUGGCUUUGGUCAGGCUAGUUCUAGGCAUCCGCCUACAAGACUUAGAGGGCAUUCAGUUGUUCACUAGGAGGAGUAGGCAUUUUACUUUGAAAAAAUUAGAGUGUUUAAGGCAGGCAAUCGCCCGCAUAUAUUAGCAUGGAAUAAUAGAAUAGGACACUUUUCCAUUUCGUUGGUUAUUGGAAUCGUGUAAUGAUUAAUAGGGACAGUUGUGGGCAUUUGUAUUUAAUUGUCAGAGGUGAAAUUCUUGGAUUUAUUAAAGACAAACUAACGCGAAAGCAUUUGCCAAGGAUGUUUUCAUUAAUCAAGAACGAAAGUUAGGGGAUCAAAGACGAUCAGAUACCGUCCUAGUCUUAACUAUAAACUAUUCCGACUCAAUGUUUGACUGGCUUAUAUAACCAGUUGAGCGUUGUAUGAGAAAUCAAAGUCUUUAGGUUCUGGGGGGAGUAUGGUUGCAAAGCUGAAACUUAAAGGAAUUGGCGGAAGAGCACAACCAGGAGUGGAUUCUGCGGCUUAAUUUGACUCAACACGGGGAAACUUACCAGGUUAAAACAAUAGUGGGAUUGACAGUUUGAGAGCGCUUUCUUGAUUGGUUGGGUGGUGGUGCAUGGCCGUUCUUAGUUGGUGGAGUGAUUUGUCUGCUUAAUUGCGUUAACGAACGAGACCUUAACCUGCUUACUAGACUGGCGAUCAUCAAUCGUUAGCUCUUCUUAGA